AGAGUUUGAUCCUGGCUCAGGAUGAACGCUGGCGGCGUGCUUAACACAUGCAAGUCGAGCGAGAAGCUUUUGACGGAUCCUUCGGGUGACGGAUGAAGUGGAAAGCGGCGGACGGGUGAGUAACGCGUGGGCAACCUGCCCUGUACAGAGGGAUAGCCACUGGAAACGGUGAUUAAUACCUCAUAAGACCACAGUGCUGCAUAGCACAGGGGUAAAAACUCUGGUGGUACAGGAUGGGCCCGCGUCUGAUUAGCUAGUUGGUAAGGUAACGGCUUACCAAGGCGACGAUCAGUAGCCGACCUGAGAGGGUGAUCGGCCACACUGGAACUGAGACACGGUCCAGACUCCUACGGGAGGCAGCAGUGGGGAAUAUUGCACAAUGGGCGAAAGCCUGAUGCAGCAACGCCGCGUGAACGAUGAAGGCCUUCGGGUUGUAAAGUUCUUUUCUUGGAGAAGAAAAUUUGACGGUAUCCAAGGAAUAAGCCCCGGCUAACUACGUGCCAGCAGCCGCGGUAAUACGUAGGGGGCAAGCGUUAUCCGGAAUCACUGGGCGUAAAGGGAGUGUAGGCGGUCAAGCAAGUCAGGGGUGAAAGGCAUCGGCUCAACCGAUGUAAGCCUUUGAAACUGUUUGACUUGAGUGCAGGAGAGGUAAGUGGAAUUCCUAGUGUAGCGGUGAAAUGCGUAGAUAUUAGGAGGAACACCAGUGGCGAAGGCGACUUACUGGACUGUAACUGACGCUGAGGCUCGAAAGCGUGGGGAGCGAACAGGAUUAGAUACCCUGGUAGUCCACGCCGUAAACGAUGAAUACUAGGUGUCUGGGGUCGAACCUAGGUGCCGCAGCUAACGCAUUAAGUAUUCCGCCUGGGGAGUACGCACGCAAGUGUGAAACUCAAAGGAAUUGACGGGGACCCGCACAAGCAGCGGAGCAUGUGGUUUAAUUCGAAGCAACGCGAAGAACCUUACCAGGUCUUGACAUACAGAUGACCGGUCCUUAGCCGGACCUUUCCUUCGGGACAUCUGAUACAGGUGGUGCAUGGUUGUCGUCAGCUCGUGUCGUGAGAUGUUGGGUUAAGUCCCGCAACGAGCGCAACCCUUAUUUUUAGUUGCCAUCAGUUAGGCUGGGCACUCUAAAGAGACUGCCGUGGACAACACGGAGGAAGGUGGGGAUGACGUCAAAUCAUCAUGCCCCUUAUGAUCUGGGCUACACACGUGCUACAAUGGUCGGUACAACGGGCAGCGAAAGGGUGACCUGGAGCAAAUCCUAUAAAGCCGAUCUCAGUUCGGAUUGCAGGCUGCAACUCGCCUGCAUGAAGUUGGAGUUGCUAGUAAUCGUGGAUCAGAAUGCCGCGGUGAAUGCGUUCCCGGGUCUUGUACACACCGCCCGUCACACCAUGGAAGCUGGGGGCGCCCGAAGCCCGUGAUCCAACCCCUUGUGGGAGGAAGCGGUCGAAGGUGAAAUCAGUGACUAGGGUGAAGUCGUAACAAGGUAGCCGUAUCGGAAGGUGCGGCUG
rnacentral:rRNA from 1 species